UGUGUGUGUGUGUGUGUGUGUGUGUGUGUGUGUGUGUGUUUGGGGUUUAUCACCGUGCUGGAGCGCCUAGAAGUGCGGCCACGUGGAUUUAGGUAUUCGCGUCCACCUCAGAGCCUGCUCCCUCUGAAGUCUUCUGUAUUCUUCUAACAACCCUAGAAAUUCUUCAACCCGGAGCUGUGUACUCAACAGGCAGACAGCUCAGCCUGUGUAUGUUGUCUAAGUGUCUGGAAUGUACACCUGGUUCCUCUCCACUGGCACCCACAAUUUAAGAAAGUAAAUAGACGCUUUCAAGGAGGAACAUGUGUUCACGUUCAAUGGUGGUGAUUGGAGAAGACAGGGAACAAGAACCAGGAAGAAGAAGAGGCGCUGACAGUGAUGGCCCCGCUCAUAGGAGCAGUAGAAUAAUGCUGCAGUUUACUAGCUGGGGUUAGUAAUGUCCUCAUUUUCCCUCUCACUCUGAAUCUUUGCCCUGGAUAAGGGGGAGUUGAAUUUAGCUUUAAGAAGGGAUUAGUAAGAAGAGAAUGUGAAUGUUGGUUUGACAGGUGGGGUGGGGGAGGCCACUAAAGCCCAGGGGCCAACAGCCACGCUAGCACUUGCUUUUCCUCCAUGUUCAAAACCCAGCACUAGUAGGUUUCCAUUCUAAAAAAAUUUAUAACAAAAAGUAAGCCAUUUGAGUGUGAAUGUUACUAACAACGUGGUGGUGAGGAUAUUUGGCUUAGAAUUUUAUCUUUUUUAAAAGCUGAGGCUGUGUUUAAAAUUUCAUUGGUGAUUUCCCUUUAUUUACACAUUAGAAUUAUUGAGAAUUUUUAAUAAAACUACAAACGACAGAAAGCUAACCUGAAGG
rnacentral:lncRNA from 1 species